UACGUAGGGGGGCUAGCGUUGUCCGGAAUCAUUGGGCGUAAAGCGCGUGUAGGCGGUCCGGUAAGUCCGCUGUGAAAGUCGGGGGGCUCAACCCUCGGAUGCCGGUGGAUACUGUCGGGCUUGAGUACGGAAGAGGCGAGUGGAAUUCCUGGUGUAGCGGUGAAAUGCGCAGAUAUCAGGAGGAACACCAAUUGCGAAGGCAGCUCGCUGGGACGUUACUGACGCUGAGGCGCGAAAGCGUGGGGAGCAAACAGG
rnacentral:rRNA from 1 species